GACGAACGCUGGCGGCGUGCUUAACACAUGCCAGUCGAACGGAAAGGCCCUGCUUUUGUGGGGUGCUCGAGUGGCGAACGGGUGAGUAACACGUGAGUAACCUGCCCUUGACUUUGGGAUAACUUCAGGUAACUGGGGCUAAUACCGGAUAGGAGCUCCUGCUGCAUGGUGGGGGUUGGAAAGUUUCGGCGGUUGGGGAUGGACUCGCGGCUUAUCAGCUUGUUGGUGGGGUAGUGGCUUACCAAGGCUUUGACGGGUAGCCGGCCUGAAAGGGUGACCGGCGACAAUGGGAAUGAGAUACAGCCCAGACUCCUACGGGAGGCAGCAGUGAGGAAUAGUGCACAAUGGGCGGAAGCCUGAUGCAGCAACGCCGCGUGCGGGAUGACGGCCUUCGGGUUGUAAACCGCUUUCGCCUGUGACGAAGCGUGAGUGACGGUAAUGGGUAAAGAAGCACCGGCUAACUACGUG
rnacentral:rRNA from 1 species